rnacentral:rRNA from 1 species
UGAGGAAUAUUGGUCAAUGGGCGCAAGCCUGAACCAGCCAUGCCGCGUGAAGGAUGACGGCCCUAUGGGUUGUAAACUUCUUUUAUAGUAGGCGAAAAGCAGGUCGAGAAUCUGAAUUGACGGUAUACUAUGAAUAAGCAUCGGCUAACUCCGUGCCAGCAGCCGCGGUAAUACGGAGGAUGCGAGCGUUAUCCGGAUUUAUUGGGUUUAAAGGGUUCGUAGGCGGCCGUUUAAGUCAGCGGUGAAAUACCAGCGCUCAACGCUGGGGCUGCCGUUGAUACUGGAUGGCUAGAGGGUCGGCGACGAUGGCGGAAUGUGACAAGUAGCGGUGAAAUGCAUAGAUAUGUCACAGAACACCGAUAGCGAAGGCAGCUGUCGAGCCGUUACCCUGACGCUGAGGAACGAAAGCGUGGGGAUCAAACAGG